AAGAGUACGAGUUUCAAGUGAGCAAGAGCCGAAGAGCAGUAAGAAGUAACUUGUCGCUGGAGAAAGGCAAGUGUGUCCUUGUGUUUUUGUCCCAAUAAAUUUAUUUAAUCACUAUUGCAUAUGCUUGCAUUAAAUUUGAUGGGUCCUAUUAAGGUUUGCCUAGUUUUUAUGAUUAUUCCUUGCCAACCUGGGUUUACCUUUCUGUUGGGUAGCUAUGCUUAGCUGCUAUACUUGGGUUAUGGUGGUUCUAAUGAACAAAGAUGAUGAACUUAUUUUAUUUAUGCUACACCUUCCUUUAAUACAAGAUCACUGUGAUUAAUUGGAACAUGGAGAACCACCCAGGAAAACAGUGCUACCACAAGACUAAAUGGCUCUGGUCUUGGCUGAAUAAUUAGAAACUCUAGUUUGGGGUAACCUUACCGAAAGGGCAAGAGGGGAGGCGUUGAUGGGGUAUAGCACUCGCUCUCUUGGGAAGUGGGCUUGGCUAAGACACUAUACCCUCUAGGGGACUGCUAUGUUUCGCUUCGACCUGAAACCUUAGCGGGUUACCACAUUGCUAGCGAAUCUUUGUAAAGGCCUCGUAGCGUCCCUAUGCAAUCACACCUCGGAAGUGUGGUAUUGUGCCUGAUCAGCACAAGCGUGGUUGGGUCUAAAGUUCUUUUGAACUUUUACGCGACUUGUGGGUAAAGAUGUGCCACCUCUGCAGAGUGUAAAACUGAUCGAUCAGCCGUGCUCACGGUUAAGAGCGGCCUGGACCCUCACAUGAGUAAUAUACUUGAAGAUGGAUUUAAAUUGUGGUUUAUGCUAUGGUUAUGGUUGUGCCAUAUGCUUAUGGCUUAUGUUUAUGUUUCUAUUAAUUGUGGGUUGGUAUAUACUUAUACCUUAGUAAUCAUGUGCUAAUAAAAUUUGACCAACUAAAAAUGCUUAAUGCAAUAAACCGGUCAGCCUUUCCUUGUUUAACCCUUGCAUUCAUAUUCUCCUCACACUUGCUGAGUACGACAAGUGCUCACCCUUGCUAUAAACAACGUUCCUCAGAAGAAGAAGCUGCUAUGAAGUUGUUGUGAAGAUGGUGCUGAGUCCUAGGCAUACGCAGCCCCCAGUCGAUUGCCUGUGAAGUUUGGAGCCUCCGUUUCCAUAAUUAAGCUGUAUAUCUCUGAUGGUUUGUAAGUCUUUAUUUGUAUCUUUUCACGUGAUACUGUUGCUGUUAUUCACUUAUGAUGUCACUAUAUGUAUGAAAUUUGAUCCGGGCACACAUAUAGGUAGCAUUCGGUUUUGCCUUUAAAAUCGGGUGUGACA
rnacentral:lncRNA from 1 species